CUUAAAAGGCCACUUCCUGCUGGUUUUGGGCCUUUUGCCAGGGGAGCUCAGCACAAAGUGCCUCAGGAGUUUGGCAUGGUGGAGCAGAGUGUAAAGUCCCCGGGGAGCACUCCUCUGGUGAUGGGGGCACUGCCUCGACCUCAGUCCUGCCUGGUGUGGGUGGCAUCCAACUAGGGAGACGCACGAUGGAGAGCAAGACGGAAGACGGUGAUGCUUGUGGUGGACUCUCACAGGACUGAGCCUUAUUCUCAGGGUCAUGCAUUCCAGCAAUCUCUGUAAUUAUAAGCAAGUGGGGGGGCCCUGGCAUGAGGCUGUGGAGGAGGGAGAGUGCAGAGUGAGAAGCCCGCUGCAGGGCUCCUCUCUGGAUCUCAUUUUCACGUAGCAAGGGGUAGGGUCCUGGACAUCC